UACGUAGGGUGCGAGCGUUAAUCGGAAUUACUGGGCGUAAAGCGUGCGCAGGCGGUUUGCUAAGACCGAUGUGAAAUCCCCAGGCUUAACCUGGGAACUGCAUUGGUGACUGGCAGGCUAGAGUAUGGCAGAGGGGGGUAGAAUUCCACGUGUAGCAGUGAAAUGCGUAGAGAUGUGGAGGAAUACCGAUGGCGAAGGCAGCCCCCUGGGCCAAUACUGACGCUCAUGCACGAAAGCGUGGGGAGCAAACAGG
rnacentral:rRNA from 1 species